AAUCAACGCUGGCGGCGUGCCUAACACAUGCAAGUCGAACGCGAAAGCCCCUUCGGGGGUAAGUAGAGUGGCGUCCGGGUGAGUAACACGUAGGUAAUCUACCUUCGGGUGGGGAAUAACUCGCCGAAAGGCGGAGCUAAUACCGCAUAAUAGCAGCGGCACCUAAUGGUGAUUAGUUGUUAAAGCGGGGGAUCGUAAGACCUCGCGCCUGAAGAGGAGCCUGCGGCA
rnacentral:rRNA from 1 species